CUCGCGAGGACGAAUUCGUUAUCGUCUUCCUUCCACGUCUUUAUAUCUGAUGGCUCUUCUCCCCGUGUUCGAAGAGUACAAAAACAACCGCAAUCCGCAAUCGCGCAGGGAUCCCGAUGGCAGGCUCCGGCGAAAGCGCGAGAACUACGGCGGCGUCGCCUCCCGGACCGCCCCCCGGGUUCGGCGAGGGCGCCCCGCCGGACAACGCUCUGCACGCCCUGGGCUUCGAGUACACCCGCAUCACCGGGAGCGAGGUCCUUGGCCGCCUCGCCGUCACCGAAACCUGCUGCCAGCCCUUCAAGAUCCUCAACGGCGGCGUCUCGGCGCUGAUGGCAGAGUCGACGGCGAGCAUCGGCGGGUACAUGGCGUCCGGGUACCGGAGGGUGGCCGGCGUGCAGCUCUCCAUCAACCACCUCAAGCCCGCCCGCCUCGGCGACCGCAUCGAGGCCAAGGCGAACCCCAUCCAGGUCGGCCGCAACGUCCAGAUCCCAUUUUGUUUUCAAACGGAGUUCAUCGCCCAAAAUAAAAGAUCAAUUGAUAAAAGCCAGUCUGCUACUGGCUUACUGCAUCUGCAAUUUGAUUAGUCAGCUGCUGCCUGUGGAAGGAAUGGUCAAGAUUCCGGGUUGGUUGGGCGUUACUAGUAUAGAAAAUUAAACGAGCAGACAGCAAGAUGAGAUGCACAAGUUUGACACUUCUGCUUGCCUCACAGGUCUUCUCUGGCGGCUAACACAUUUCCCUUUUCAAACACACUAAAAGAAGAAAAAUGUUCUGGGCAAGAUAGUGACGGAUGGGGUCAGAUUAAUUGCAGCAGUCCAUGAUUAACCAUGAAAUGUCCACGUAUCAUGCUGUCGGAAUAUACUUUGUUAAGACUCACUGAACUCAAUCUACAAUUAUAGAUGUGCAUAUGGCUCGUCUUCUAUAUUUUCCUUGUUUCUUCAGGUUUGGGAGGUCCAGAUAUGGCUGUUGGAUCCUGCCACAUCGGAGCACAAAGAUUUGGUAUCAUCAGCAAGGGUUACCCUGCUAACCAACUUGUCAACACCAGAGGAAAUGAAGAUCUAUGAGAAGGGCAUCAAGAAAUAUGCAAAGCUUUAGGAACUGUAAUAUGUUGAGCACAAUAUAUAGCAGUCCAACAAAAAUUAAGUAUAUAAGUUGAUAUCCAAAUCACUUGAUCAAGAAUGUAUCACUUGCAAUUGUUUGCAAAUGUCCGGGACUACCGUGACAAGCAUGUAUCACUUGAUUAAGAAUUUUAGUCGAGAAGUGAUGAUAAUCCAAGUAAGAAUUCAGAUAUA